GCCCCUGCAGCACAAUGGGUCAGCGCAUCUGGCCCUUAACCAGAAGCUUGGUGGUUCGAGCCCACCCAGGGACA